AGUAAGCACACAGUACCAGAAAGAAGGAAAACAAAUUGCACAAGUGAAGCACAAUGAACAUCAAAGUCACCGUCAAUGUCCUUGCUCUUGUUUUACUUUGUGUAACUUCCACACAAGCUUUUCCCAUGAUGUACCUACGCUGUAAGUGCAUCAAUAUCCGUUCUGGAUUCGUCAAACCAUUGAGAUUAUUCUAAGUAGUCCCGAAUGUGCAAGUAAACAAAUCAUUCUUACCCUUCAAAAUCAGCGGGUCUGCGUCAAACCUGAGGAAUGGUCGGUGAAGAUUUUGUUCCAAAAAUUUAAGCCUGGGUAAGUUUCCAUUUCCAUGCAUUUGGAAAGAAUGAACCUUCAGACUAACAAAAGGCUAUAGCUGCACAGGACAAAUAUCACCAUGCACAACAAUUAGCAAACCAUUAUGUCGAACAUUGUAUUUGGAUUUCUUUUCUCAAUAUAUUUCAAAAUCUAUUUGUGACCAAAACUAUUGCACUACCUUGUACUUUAAUCCUCUCCUAAAUUAAAAGAGCUUUCCUCAUAUUGUCUACUACUGUUUCCGAACAACUAAGAAUAUUGAGGUGUAAAAGAACACUUGGAUGCAACUGUUGGAUUAGAACAAACUCAUAUUUAUGUUACUGUUUUGAAGGAAUUAGACAGAAAAUGUAUUGUCAAUUCUGAAGACCUAUAACUUUCUAAAUUAAUGUUUUCUUUUUCCACAGUUUGACCAAGAUUAAACAUCCC